rnacentral:rRNA from 1 species
UAGGGAAUCUUCGGCAAUGGACGAAAGUCUGACCGAGCAACGCCGCGUGAGUGAAGAAGGUUUUCGGAUCGUAAAACUCUGUUGUUAGAGAAGAACAAGGACGUUAGUAACUGAACGUCCCCUGACGGUAUCUAACCAGAAAGCCACGGCUAACUACGUGCCAGCAGCCGCGGUAAUACGUAGGUGGCAAGCGUUGUCCGGAUUUAUUGGGCGUAAAGCGAGCGCAGGCGGUUUCUUAAGUCUGAUGUGAAAGCCCCCGGCUCAACCGGGGAGGGUCAUUGGAAACUGGGAGACUUGAGUGCAGAAGAGGAGAGUGGAAUUCCAGGGGUAGCGGUGAAAUGCGUAGAUAUAUGGAGGAACACCAGUGGCGAAGGCGGCUCUCUGGUCUGUAACUGACGCUGAGGCUCGAAAGCGUGGGGAGCAAACAGG